AACGAACGCUGGCGGCAGGCUUAACACAUGCAAGUCGAACGCUCUAGCAAUAGAGAGUGGCGCACGGGUGAGUAACGCGUGGGAAUAUACCUUAUAGUGGGGAAUAACGUUGGGAAACUAACGCUAAUACCGCAUACGCCCGAGAGGGGAAAGAUUUAUCGCUAUAAGAUUAGCCCGCGUGAGAUUAGGUAGUUGGUGGGGUAAUGGCCUACCAAGCCGACGAUCUCUAGCUGGUCUGAGAGGAUGAUCAGCCACACUGGAACUGAGACACGGUCCAGACUCCUACGGGAGGCAGCAGUGGGGAAUAUUGGACAAUGGGGGCAACCCUGAUCCAGCCAUGCCGCGUGAGUGAUGAAGGCCUUAGGGUUGUAAAGCUCUUUCGCCGAUGAAGAUAAUGACGGUAGUCGGAGAAGAAGCCCCGGCUAACUUCGUGCCAGCCGCCGCCGUAA
rnacentral:rRNA from 1 species